UACGUAGGUGGCAAGCGUUGUCCGGAUUUACUGGGCGUAAAGGGCGUGCAGGCGGUUUGUUAAGUCUAGGGUGAAAGCUCCCGGCUCAACUGGGAGAGGUCCUUGGAUACUGGCAGACUUGAGGAGGGUAGAGGAGAGUGGAAUUCCCGGUGUAGUGGUGAUAUGCGUAGAUAUCGGGAGGAACACCAGUGGCGAAGGCGGCUCUCUGGGCCCUACCUGACGCUGAGACGCGAAAGCGUGGGGAGCGAACGGG
rnacentral:rRNA from 1 species